rnacentral:rRNA from 1 species
AACGAACGCUGGCGGCAGGCUUAACACAUGCAAGUCGAGCGCCCCGCAAGGGGAGCGGCAGACGGGUGAGUAACGCGUGGGAAUCUACCCAUCUCUACGGAAUAACGCAUGGAAACGUGUGCUAAUACCGUAUACGUCCUUCGGGAGGAAGAUUUAUCGGAGAUGGAUGAGCCCGCGUUGGGUUAGCUAGUUGGUGGGGUAAAGGCCUACCAAGGCGACGAUCCAUAGCUGGUCUGAGAGGAUGAUCAGCCACACUGGGACUGAGACACGGCCCAGACUCCUACGGGAGGCAGCAGUGGGGAAUAUUGGACAAUGGGCGCAAGCCUGAUCCAGCCAUGCCGCGUGAGUGAUGAAGGCCCUAGGGUUGUAAAGCUCUUUCACCGGUGAAGAUAAUGACGGUAACCGGAGAAGAAGCCCCGGCUAACUUCGUGCCAGCAGCCGCGGUAAGAC